rnacentral:lncRNA from 1 species
AUUUAUAAAUAGCCCAAUAAUAUGAGUAUUUCGUGUAACCGGCCGUCCCUAGAGUAAGUGGUAAAAUGUUUGGUGAUUGGUACCCUAGUUAGUAAAUUCGCGAAUUAUUCGCGAAUUAUUGAAAAUCCGAAUUAAAGGAUCCGUUUACGAAUUUUUCCGAAAGAAAGAGAAUUAUUCGCGAAUUUUUGGGUCGGCCGAAUAAUUCGCGAAUUAUUCGUGAAUUAUUACCGAAUUAUUGAAAAUAUGAAUAAAAAACUUAUAAUUUUAUUUUUAAAUAUAAUUUAUUUUAUAUCUUAUAUUUUAUAUUUUAUACCGAAUCUGUUUCUUAAGCCGAAUUUUUCAACGAAUUUAAAAGUUAGAAAACGACUUUUAUACGUAUUAUAUCCGUACCGAAUUUUUGCCGAAUCCGAAUUAACUAACUAUGCUUGGUAUCCGAGACCCACGUUCGAAUCCUAAUUGAUUCACAUGUUCUAGCUAAGUUUAUUUCUAAAUAAAAUAAACAAAGCAGGUAGCGUGCUACUUAUCUCUCAAAAAAAUAUUAGUAUUUCGUGUAAUUUUUAAAACCGUGUUUAUUAGUGUUUAAUUGUUUAUGCUCAUGUGUAUGUU